rnacentral:rRNA from 1 species
GACGAACGCUGGCGGCGUGCUUAACACAUGCAAGUCGAACGGAAAGGCCCUGCUUUUGUGGGGUGCUCGAGUGGCGAACGGGUGAGUAACACGUGAGUAACCUGCCCUUGACUUUGGGAUAACUUCAGGAAACUGGGGCUAAUACCGGAUAGGAGCUCCUGCUGCAUGGUGGGGGUUGGAAAGUUUCGGCGGUUGGGGAUGGACUCGCGGCUUAUCAGCUUGUUGGUGGGGUAGUGGCUUACCAAGGCUUUGACGGGUAGCCGGCCUGAGAGGGUGACCGGCCACAUUGGGACUGGGAUACGGCCCAGACUCCUACGGGAGGCAGCAGUGGGGAAGAUUGCACAAUGGGCGGAAGCCUGAUGCAGCAACGCCGCGUGCGGGAUGACGGCCUUCGGGUUGUAAACCGCUUUCGCCUGUGACGAAGCGUGAGUGACGGUAAUGGGUAAAGAAGCACCGGCUAACUACGUG